rnacentral:rRNA from 1 species
UACUAAGGUAGCAUAAUAAUUUGUCUUUUAAUUGAAGACUCGAAUGAAAGAAUUGACGUGAAAGGUGUUUUUCCUUAAAGUUKAAAAAAUUUUAUUUASAUAAAAAAAUCUAGAUUAGUYUGAGGGACGAUAAGACCCUAUAAAAUUUUACUUAAUGGAGUAUAAUUAGAUAUUUUACUUAAAAGUUUAGCUGGGACGGMGAARACAAAUWAUYUSUUYUAUAGAAAACAUUUUAAAUGAGGACAAAGACCUUAAAGCCUUUAAAUCAAAUUACUUUAGGGGUAACAGCGUAAUUUUUCUGAGAGUUCCUAUCAAAAGAGAAGAUUACGACCUCGAUGUUGAAUUAAGGGACCCUGAGGGUGAA